rnacentral:misc_RNA from 1 species
GUGAUAUUAGCGCAUCUCUUCGGAGAGCGUGACCUCCACUUUCUAACUCUGUGCAUUUAUUUGGCGGCUCUGAAGAUGUAACAGUCUACUUAGCUGCGGCUCAUUUUAUAACACUAGUUAAAGUAUGUAACGAAAUAUCGAAACAAAAAAAAACUUUCAACAACGGAUCUCUUGGCUUGCUCAUCGAUGAAGAACGCAGCGAAAUGUGAUAAGUAAUGUGAAUUGCAGAAUUCAGUGAAUCAUCGAAUCUUUGAACGCACCUUGCGCUCCGUGGUAUUCCGCGGAGCAUGUCUGUUUGAGUGUCAUGAACUCUUCAACCCACCAGUUUCUUGUAAAUUGGAUUGGUGUUUGGAUUUUGAGUGUUGCUAUUCCUAGUUGAAUCAGCUCAUUCGUAAUAUAUUAGCAUCUCUAAUUCGAACUCGGAUUGACUCAGUGUAAUAGACUAUUCGCUGAGGACACGCUCUUUGUAGUGUGGCCGAAUGAGAUCUCAGUAGAAGCUUCCAACUACUUUAGUCAACUUUAG